rnacentral:rRNA from 1 species
AACGAACGCUGGCGGCAGGCUUAACACAUGCAAGUCGAACGGUUGUAGCAAUACAGCAGUGGCAGACGGGUGAGUAACACGUGGGAACCUUCCUAGGAGUACGGAACAACUCAGGGAAACUUGAGCUAAUACCGUAUACGUCCGUGAGGAGAAAGAUUUAUCGCCCUUAGACGGGCCCGCGUCGGAUUAGCUAGUUGGUGGGGUAACGGCCUACCAAGGCGACGAUCCGUAGCUGAUCUUAGAGGAUGAUCAGCCACACUGGGACUGAGACACGGCCCAGACUCCUACGGGAGGCAGCAGUGGGGAAUCUUGGACAAUGGGCGCAAGCCUGAUCCAGCCAUGCCGCGUGAGUGAAGAAGGUCUUCGGAUUGUAAAGCUCUUUUGCCAGGGACGAUAAUGACGGUACCUGGAGAAUAAGCCCCGGCAAACUUCGUGCCAGCCGCCGCUGUAAAAC